UACGGAGGGUGCAAGCGUUAUCCGGAUUCACUGGGUUUAAAGGGUGCGUAGGUGGGCAAGUAAGUCAGUGGUGAAAUCUCCGGGCUUAACCCGGAAACUGCCAUUGAUACUAUUUGUCUUGAAUACUGUGGAGGUCAGCGGAAUAUGUCAUGUAGCGGUGAAAUGCUUAGAUAUGACAUAGAACACCAAUUGCGAAGGCAGCUCGUUACACGAAUAUUGACUCUGAGGCUCGAAAGCGUGGGGAUCAAACAGG
rnacentral:rRNA from 1 species